rnacentral:rRNA from 1 species
GACGAACCGAGCGAACGUUGUUCGGAAUCACUGGGCUUAAAGGGCGCGUAGGCGGGCUGUCAAGUCUGGGGUGAAAUCCCGCGGCUCAACCGUGGAACUGCCUCAGAUACUGACGGUCUCGAGGGAGAUAGGGGCGAGCGGAACUAAUGGUGGAGCGGUGAGAUGCGUUGAUAUCAUUAGGAACUCCGGUGGCGAAGGCGGCUCGCUGGAUCUUUCUGACGCUGAGGCGCGAAAGCUAGGGGAGCAAACGGG